CAGUCCCAUCUGAAGCAGGGGAGCAGUGGAGCACAGUCUUUGGACUCGCCGACCAGUGCGUUCGGUCCAGUCGGAAGUACCUCCGAAGGCCUGGAAGGAUGACAGACACCAAAGGUGAAGCGACUUCCAAGACUGAAAUGACAAGCCCCUUCCAGUUCCAGGCCUUAGGACACCCAGCUAACAAGAUGAGUUUCAGAAAACCUUCAUUGUCCACUCGUUAUUUUCCACCCGUCCCUCCACCCCUCAAGUCAUCCUGACCAUACUUUAACACAAAUAAUGUCAUACUAUCCACAAAAGCCAGUACACCCCAUUUGCUUCUGGAAAGUGUUCCCUGGCAGCAUGAGCUCAUCAGCAAACCUCUCUGUCUGCAGCACUAAUUUCUCUUUCUUGGAAGAUGCUAUCUCCAGCAGGAACCUCUUGCUCACAAACAUCCCUCUUGGGCAGUAACCUGAAAUCCCUCAGGUCUGUGGUAUCUGGGCCCCUGAGCAUAGAUUGCGAUCCUAUGGAAACACUAGCCAAGUUGAUCUCUUUAGAGGAGGUGCGAUAACUGUUCCGCCGUCAUGGACACUGUGAUAACUCACAGAAUCAGGAACCCUCCACUGGAAUUACACUAAUACACCAAGAGCCAUGCCAUUGUCGCCUAUGGUCUUUGAGAUGCAGGGCACAGGAUAGGAAAUUGAAAUCCGAGCUUCAAAUGGAGGAGUUGAUCUAGAGGAUCCCGGGACUAGUUUAUGACUGUGGCUGUGGAUAUAGGACACAAGAGGAGAUCAAGACACAGGAGAGCAUACAUCUCACUUCUGGGACCUUAAAGCGAGAUCCUUGUGAAUAAUAUAUUACUACUGACCUCUUUCUCACAGGUUACCAGAUGUGCUACCCUGUCCAAGCUCCUUAAGUUGGCCCAGUCUCAUAGGACUCUUAAGGUUAACACAGCAACUGUAGGUCAUCUGGCACAUAGUAAAUGGAGAAUACACUUUAUUCCCUUCCUUCUCUUUCUAAGCAACUCAAAAGCUCUCUCCUAUAGAGGUAUCCCCACCUCAGCCCAAUCGCCCACGAUCCUGUUUAUCUUCUCUUUCAGAUCUUGUUAUACCAGUUUGGUUAAUUUAAAUGCAUAUUUUUUAAAACAUUCAUUUAUUUAUUUAUUUUUAAGAUUUAUUUAUUUAUUUUAUGUAUAUGAGUACACUGUAGCUGUAUAGAUGAUUAUGAGCCUUCAUGUGGUUGUUGGGAAUUGAAUUUAGGACCUCUGCUCACUCCAGUCAACCCCACUCACUCAGUCCCUGCUCGCUCUGGCCCAAAGAUUUAUUUAUUAUUAUAAACAAGUACACUGUAACUGACUUCAGACACACCCAAAGAGGGCAUCAGGUCUCAUACCGGUGGUUGUGAGCCACCAUGAGGUUGCUGGGAUUUGAACACAGGAUCUUCCGGAAGAGCAUUCAGUGCUCAUACCCACUGAGCCAUCUCACCGGCCUUUAACUGCUUAUUUUACACAUUCUAUGUCUAGUUCAGCAAAAAUAAACUAGUCACGUUGUU
rnacentral:lncRNA from 1 species